UUAAUCUCAGCGCACAGUCUCUUCAUCCGUCGUUAUCAAUUGAUUUGAACCAGAGUAUGACAUACCCUAAAUUUAAACUCUCUUCCCUUUUAAUUCUCUUCUCUUUCAUCUCUCCCAAUUCCACCACCAGCAGCAGCAGAGGAUUCCACAUCUUGUGAUAGUAAUCAAACCUUUAUACGAGCAAGUCAUCCAAUUACUCAAAUAUCAACAUCUUAAAUCCAAUCAGACUAAUCAAAAACAACAAAAUUACUCACUAAAUUGACAAACUUUUGCUGUAGAUUCACUUCAAAUCCAAUUUCCCAAACCUAAACAAAAUACCCAUUUCAUCAAAAUCCCAAAAAAACAUAACUAACAAUCAAAAUACCCAUUUCAUCCAAUUUAAGUUUCUUCUCUUUCAUCCUAAUCUUUUGAUAACUAACAAAUAAAGAAUCUUCUCUCUUCAGGAAAAGCUCUCAUAAUCUUCUCUCUGAUUCAAAAGCUCUUAAUUGAAGGUAUGCUUAUCCAAGUUUUUAAAUUUAAUUUUGAUUACUGCUGCUAUUCCCAAAUUUAAUUUUGGCUAAAAGAUAUACAAAUUUCUUAACAAAAAAUAUCAAAUAGCCGGAAUAUUUGAUUCUAAUUCAGUAAUGGUUGUUGUGAUGUUAUCUUAGGCUCUUUUUUAAUUAAAUUAAAGUUCUUCAAGAAUUAAAUGUGCUUAGUUCCUCUCCAAUUAGUAAUUUGGCAGGGCUACAAACUUUAAUCUACAGACUAUCAAACAUAUUCAGAAACUGGAGUUUUUGUGAAUUUUGAUCUUGCAUUGAGUUUUGCGAGUGUCCUGUUAUUGUGUUUUAAUCUACAGACUAUCAAACAUAUUCAGAAACUGGAAUUUUCUGAAUUUUGAUCUUGCAUUGAGUUUUGCGAGUGUCCUGUUAUUGUGUUAGUAUAACACAAUCAAACAUAUUCAGGUUUUGGCUAUAGACUUUAAUCUACAGAAGUUCUAUUGUUUCAGGCUUAAAAAGUGACUGUAAGGAUAUGUGCUCUUAACAAACUGGAAUCUCUUAAAAAGCUGAAAUCUCAAGUAAUGUACUUGAGAAAUUUAUUCAAAUUCUAAUUGAUCAAUUGUAAUAUUUUAACUCAAUGGGAACUAAUUUGUAAUAUUCUCAAGUAAUUGUAUUUUCCAAUUACCCUCCAUCUUCUCAAUGGAUAACUAGAACUACCAUAAGAUAUACAGUAUUUCUUAUUUUUGUUCUUUAAAAGAUGUGAUAAAAACAUUUAAAUCAUACAAAUACUGUAACAGAUAACAAUUUCACUUCUUAUAUCUGGUUUUUACUUUUCGGAACUUAAUAUGUAUGAACAACAAUGUCCAUAUCUAAUACACUUACUCGGGUUUGUAGAGGAGAUCCAAUAAUGAAAAUAAGUUCUUAGGCGCAACCCUACAAUGGUCGUUUAGCUACUCAAUGCAUGUGCUCAGUCUGCCUUUUCAUCACCAACAGUCCAAUAUAAAUUGGGAAAAGCUGAGUUAAAUGGAAAUUUGAAUUACAUAUUGUGAGAGAAAAGAAACAGCAAACCAGCCAAAAACCUUUGAAUGCAUUGUUGCUUUGUUCUGAAGCAAGGAGUGAAGUGAGCUAAUCUCUUCUUCUUUGGAUCAAAUUCAAUUCUGUGGUCUCCAGUAUAGGUAAACACUCUAAAUUUCCAUCUACUUUUUGAGUUUUUGGUUUUAAGUAAUCUCUUUCUUUCUUGAUAAGUGUACUUGAUUGAAUUGAUUUUUUUUUUUUUUUUGUUGUUGCUGCGGUUUCCUGUAAAUAAUAUUACUUGGAUAUGCUGAAUUAUUGAUCCCUUCCUAUUUAUGCAGUGAGCAACUCGUGAUAUAUAUCACUGCUUCAAAGGACUCCUCUUUGGAUGGUUCUAAGUGGAUCACAAAAGCAGAUUCUGAGGUAUGUAGUGCCUGCUACAGAUGUAUGUGGUUUGUGUUUUAUUCUUUAUUUUUGUAGUAGUAAUUGUGUUUGGUAAUGUAAAGUAUAUAAUUUGCAUAGUUUACCUUUAAUUUGUCAAAAGAAAGAAACCUAACAGUGGGCAAGGUCAAUAGGUAGAGAAUCUGGUUUGAAUUAGAACAAUAAGAUGAUUUAAAUUGUAUUAUAAUGACAUUUUGGUAUCUGAUAUUUUUUUUUACUAACCAAUAGUUCAUAUUAUUUAUAUGUGGGAUGUAACUGUGUUGUGAAUUUUUAUCUCAAUGCUAAGAUUUUUAUCUCAAUGAUACUUUGCUAUAUGGCUUGUUAUUACUCAUUGUCCAACUUUGUGUGGUACCACCUUUGACCUUUCUAAGAAAACGGUAACAGUUGGGUAAAUUUUGUAGGGUUGUUUUUUAGUGUGUUAACGUUAUUAUAUUUUUAACUGUUGUUGGACUGAUAUUUGAAAUGCCAAUAUAAUUUGUUCUAGCGACUGAGAAGGAGAGGCCACCAUCCAUUAUAGAUGUGAACUCUGAAUCUAGGUCAGACCAAACUUUGAUGAUGGCUUAGACAAGGCUAAUCUACGAAAAUGACCAAACUUUGAUGAUGACUUUGACAAGGCUAAUCUGAGAAAAUGGCUGGUUCUGACAGAACACGUUGUUGAUAUGCUAAAUAGUAUAUUGACUACAUUGUGAGAUAGACUUAAAAGAAUGGUUUCAAAUCUUUGUUGAGUGUGAAAUAAGGUCAUUCAUAACCGUAGUAUGAUCAUCUCAUCUACUCUCCUUAUAUUAUUCAAUUUCUAUAAGAUUUGAGUCUAUUGAAUCAUUGUUCAAAUUUCAAACUUUAUCCUUUUGUAUCUGUCUACUAAUUCCAACUUUGAAAUUUCAAAUCACCUAAAAUUUGUCUUCUCCCAAUUGGGAGUCUAUUUUGAUAAAAUUGGCUAAUUGGUAUAAAGUUGUAACUCACUUUGAUGUUGCUGGGUAGAAUUUUAAGUUUGGUUCUUGUUAUAUCAAUCCUUUAAGACAAAGUAUGGUCAAAUUUUAUUCUUAAAAAAAUACAAUUUUAUUUUGUUGUUACUAAUUGUUUGUUUGUUUAUUUCUAGGUAAAUUCGCUCGCACAAGUUGAUAUUAAACAAGUUAGCUUGCACCAACAUAACUGUCUGUGAUUUUGGAGAUUCAGGUUGGUGAUUUCCAAUCACACGGAGGUGAUCAUCCAUUAGUAUCAAUCAAUUAAUAGAGUAAUCAUCAGGUCAUCUCUCUCUCUCUCUCUCUCUCUCUCUCUCUCUCUCUCUCUUCAUCAUCCAUUAGUAUCAAUCACCAAAUUUUAAACAUUACACCCACUAUCAGAUUAUAAUUGCUAUUAAUUAUAAAUAUAUAUUUUUUUAGUCAAUAAAUUAUCAAUUAAUUAUGAAUACUGAUGAUGCUCUUCAAACAAGUUGGAGAGCAGAUGGAUGGCCAUUAUUUUUUAAUCAUAUUACCAAUAGCUUUUCUUCAGACCUGACGAGUACAUACCCCAUUUGGAAAAUUAGAGGAGUUUGCCAUCAGGAGCUAACUCUGUUACCUGUCCACAUGCACGCCCAUCUUAACAUCGUUUCCUUAAAAAUGGUUUUCCCGAUUAUCACCAUCAAUAAUUUUUGACAUCACAUCUCCACUACCUGACAAUAACUUAUUCACAUUCCAUGCAACUGUGUUAUUGUGAUGUUGGCAAUUUAUAUUAAGAGAUGGUGUAAUCUACUGAUGAAUCGAAGAAUUCUAAAUGUUAUGAGCAUGUAAUGCCACAUUGGUUGCAUGUGCGACAAUUUUUGACUGGUUUUGUCGGGUCCAAGAAAUUUAAAAAAUAUUCUAAGAAUUCACUGAUGACUGAACGUGAUGACUGCCCUCCAUAAGUGUCUUCUUUUUGUUUGGGUUUUGCUUACUUUCGUUAAUAAAAAUGAAUGUCUACUUGAGUCUUAAAAUUUUGGGUAUGAUCAAUAUACUGAUUUUUUAAAAUAACAAUUUUAUGCUUGCUAUAAUAUCAUCCAAAAACUAGAAACUAAUUAACACGAAAAUAAAGUAACAAGGGCCAUUACCUAAACAUCUUACUAAACCACAAUCUCUCCUCGUUCACUUCUUAUAUUCAAUAUUAGUAAUGAAAAUUAUUACAACUAAUAACACCAUUUGGUUGAUACUAGCGUGGCGAAGCCACGGGUACAACUAGUAUAUAUAUAUAUAUAUAUAUAUUAAUAAAAACAUAAACUGAUAAACCAAUAAUACAUUAAUACUUACUUUGUAGACUAUCAAAAAAAUUAUUAGCCAAAAAUCAAAUUAAAAAGAACUUUUCGAAAUUCACUAUGAAUAAAUAACACCAAGUUAGAACAAUUAAAAAAAUUUAAUAUAUUAAAAACCUACAAUCAUCUUAAUUUAUAAAUACAAUUAUACAAAUACAAUAAAAAAAAGGAUUGAUAAGAAAUUACCUUAGAAAAUUGAAAUUUGUAGAUAGAUCUUUGGUUAUAAUUGAAAAAGUAGGAAAAAAUAACAAUCUAGGAGCAGCCGACCAACAGUAAAGUAGUAUAGGAGCUUUGUUUUUUUUCGUGUAUUUUUCCUAAAGAAAAACUAAAUAAAAAAAAAAAGAGGAAAGAGAACAUUCAAUCCCGUAUUUUUUUUUUUUUUUUUUCAUUUUUAGCAAAUAUCUAAUCCAUAUCUAAGAGACUAAGAUAUUUCCUAAUAUUAAGGAUUUGCUGUUGAUUCAGUUAGUUAGAAUAUUAGGAGUAUAUUCUUGAAAAUCCUUAAAUAUACUCGCCCCUGCUAUAUCAAUCAUCCCGGGCUUAAGCCCUCUAAGCCCACUCUAUCAUCCGCCCCUGAAAAUUACUGUAUGACAUAGAUGACUGAUUAGUUUAAUGUCUAAUAAUUAAUAAUAACUAAGUGAAAUGCAUGUCCAUUGGACGAUUCGGGUGGGUAAUUUUUAUUUUUAGCCUUGUAUUUUAUACUUUCAGUGAAUGACAAAAAGUUGCAAAAAUAUAUCGAGUUUGCAACCAUGAAAAUUUUAGGUGUGUAUUGUGUAGGUUAAUCCACUGCUACUUGUAAUAAAUAAAUAAAAAGCAUAAACUUAGAUAACAAAACUUCCUACAGUAAAGUAAAGAAUAAAUAUUCUUAUGUAACAAUCGUAAUCGUUGAACAUAAUAUAAGAGUUUAGAGAAACAACAUCACUUCAAAAUUCAGCAUUUAAAAAAAAAAAUAUAUAGAAAUACAAUCGCUUAAAUAAAUUUAAAAUUUUAAGUUGAAACUAACAUCAAGUAAAUCUUUAGUGAUUAAGCAAGAAAUUAUUAAACGCCUUGAUUACUUGUGAGUUUUACUUUCAAUUAUUACAAUAGUUUUAUCAAAAGUUCAAAUUUAAAGUAGAAAGAGAUAGACGGGGAGAAGAUGAGAGAGAACAGAAGAAAGGAGAUAUAAGUCUCUUCGAUUUUAUUUCUUGAAUUUGAUAACCACCCAGUUAGUUUCCUAGUCUGUAGGCAACUAAAUUAUAAAGUUUAUCUACUUAUAAUGAAAUUACUUUGAUAACCCUAAAAAUAAAUCAAAUUAAAGAAGUGAUAUUUGAUUUUGUUAAAAGAGGAGAAAAAGUUUUUGGAUAUGAUUUCAACAUAAGGAAAAAAACACUACUCCUACGUUAUAGAAUAGAAUUAGAGAUGAAUGAAUUAAUUGAGGACGAAUUUGUCAAAACCACACUGAACAUAAGCGAAUUUGCAUAAACCCCACCAAACAAAUAAAAUUUGAGAUAACACUACUCUGUUCCCCAUUCUGUUAACUAAACGUUGAAUACGGUCAAUGGGUAAAAUGAUUGUAAUACCCAGAUGAUGUCUGGAAGUUUGAUUCAUCAAUGGUGUUCUUCUUCGUUUCUAGAACUUCAAUCAUCGAUCUCACCUCUUACCAACAAUUGCAAAAACAGAGUUAAAAACCAAGGAAUUAGCAAAAAGAAAAAGAUAUGGAAUCGAAUUCAAACAAGCAGUCACAAUUAUCAAAACAAAAACAGAGUUAAAAACCAAGGAAUUAGCAAAAAGAAAAAGAUAUGGAAUCGAAUUCAAACAAGCAGUCACAAUUAUCAAAACAACCAAAAACAGAAGAACAAUUAGAAUUGAAAACGUGAUUGUAAACCAACCAGUUAAAUCGAAAUAGAGGGCGAAAGAGAGAAAAAAACACGAAGAGUGAAAAGGAAGGAGAAAGAUGGAGAACAAUUUAGUAAAUCCAAACCAGAAUUGAAGCAGAAAAACUUACCCGCAAGUUCAAUUACACUAGAAGAAGAGAAAAAACAAGAGAAAGAAAUAAAUAGUAGAAGAAGUAGAUGAAAAACAAGCAAAAUGAGAGCACAUAUCAUAGAAAGGUGGUAUAUGGGAGGAGAUUUUGGCUGUCAUGAAUCCUAGACAGUUACAGCUUGUUUGAAAUUCGAAAUCAAAACCUUUCGCAAACCCCAAAACCAAGUGAAGAUACACAUGAAGAAGAAGAAAAUAAACGAUUUUGGAAUUCUUGAUGUUGUUAGUUAUAAAUAUUGUUCUUAGUUCUUAAUACAAAGAAUUUUAUCAAAUAAACUUUUUUAGUUCUUAAUCAUGAUUUUCAAGGUUUUGGUUUUUUUUUACCUGAUUAAAUUUUGGGCAAUUUUUUACAGACGGGAGAAUUACCAAAGAGAAACCUUCACGAUCUUCCAUCGAGUUCAGGCAAUACCAUUACACCAGUGAGGAAAUUUAGAAUUACCAGUGAGGAAGGCGAUCCAGUGAGGGAGAUGAUCUAUUAUAACCAAAGGGUUAAAAUGGGUAUUUAAACCUUAAUAUUAUCUUUCUAUUUCUCUGUCCUAAUUAGUAGAUGUUUAACUAACAAAAUGGAUAACAAAGUAGUGUUAUCUCAAAUUUUAUUUUUUUGGUGGGGUUUGCUGCAAAUUAGCCUACGUUCGAGUGUGGUUUUGACCAAUUCCCACAUUAAUUAACAAUAUAAAACUAUGACUAGCUAUGGACCCCGUGCUACGCACCGG
rnacentral:lncRNA from 1 species